rnacentral:sRNA from 12 species
UCACUGGUCGCCGCGUUGAAGUUUGACGGCAUAAACCCAGUACCGGACAUGACGAAAAGG